AGAGUUUGAUCAUGGCUCAGGACGAACGCUGGCGGCGUGCUUAACACAUGCAAGUCGAACGGAAAGGCCCUUCGGGGUACUCGAGUGGCGAACGGGUGAGUAACACGUGGGUGAUCUGCCCUGCACUUUGGGAUGAGCCUGGGAAACUGGGUCUAAUACCGAAUAUGACCAUGCGCCUCCUGGUGUGUGGUGGAAAGCUUUUGCGGUGUGGGAUGGGCCCGCGGCCUAUCAGCUUGUUGGUGGGGUAAUGGCCUACCAAGGCGACGACGGGUAGCCGGCCUGAGAGGGUGACCGGCCACACUGGGACUGAGAUACGGCCCAGACUCCUACGGGAGGCAGCAGUGGGGAAUAUUGCGCAAUGGGCGCAAGCCUGAUGCAGCGACGCCGCGUGAGGGAUGACGGCCUUCGGGUUGUAAACCUCUUUCAGCACAGACGAAGCGCAAGUGACGGUAUGUGCAGAAGAAGGACCGGCCAACUACGUGCCAGCAGCCGCGGUAAUACGUAGGGUCCGAGCGUUGUCCGGAAUUACUGGGCGUAAAGAGCUCGUAGGUGGUUUGUCGCGUUGUUCGUGAAAACUCACAGCUUAACUGUGGGCGUGCGGGCGAUACGGGCAGACUUGAGUACUGCAGGGGAGACUGGAAUUCCUGGUGUAGCGGUGGAAUGCGCAGAUAUCAGGAGGAACACCGGUGGCGAAGGCGGGUCUCUGGGCAGUAACUGACGCUGAGGAGCGAAAGCGUGGGGAGCGAACAGGAUUAGAUACCCUGGUAGUCC
rnacentral:rRNA from 1 species